CUGCGUACAGAACAGCUAAAACCACCAUCACAUGUGAUUACACAGGAAACAAAUACAAGUUCUUCUGCAAACAGAACGGUUCAAUCUGUGAGGAUAUUUUAUCAACAAAAUCCUCUCUGAAGUCAAACGGGACAUUCACUCUCACAGAAACCAACAGUAGCUUCAGCGUGUCCAUCAGUAACGUGUCCUCACAUGAUGCUGGUGUCUACUGGUGUGGAGUGGAAACACAUGAAGGAAGUUACAGAGCUGCUCUCAGAAAGAUACAGCUGGAGGUUGAAGUAUCACCAGCAGUAUCACCAGCAGUAUCACCAGCAGUAUCACCAGCAGUAUCCACAUCUCUGUUUUUUUCAACCCAGUCAACUACUGCAUCUGCAGAGAGUCCUGGUGGCCCUGACGUCGUCAUCACUGUGAUCGUCUGUGUAGCUGUGCUGCUGCUGCUGUUUGUGCUGAUUUUGAUCCUAAUCUACGCAUGAUUUUCACCUUUAAAGAACACAAGAAAUGGAGCAGCAGCACAGCACAAAAAGGAUCAUGUCUAUGAGGAGAUACAGCAGACGCCAAACUCAGGAAAUAAGAUGAACACGAUUUAUGCCACUGCCAACUUUCCCACAAACCCCUCUGCCUCGCUGCAUUACUCCAGCAUCAACUUCCAAACAGCUGUGACAGAGUUGGUGGUGAGGCAGUGAUCCUCAAACCCAGCUCUGCUGCCUACGAAUAUUCUACUGUGAAGCAAAAUCCAGCCUACUGUACAGUCAGCCAGCCGUCCAGCUCUUCAGAGGAUCCUCUCUACACAACAGUCAACAUGCCACAGCAGCACUGAGCAAAGAUCAGCCCUGUCA